UACGUAGGUGGCAAGCGUUGUCCGGAAUUAUUGGGCGUAAAGCGCGCGCAGGCGGUCCUUUAAGUCUGAUGUGAAAGCCCACGGCUCAACCGUGGAGGGUCAUUGGAAACUGGGGGACUUGAGUGCAGAAGGAGGAAAGCGGAAUUCCACGUGUAGCGGAUGAAAUGCGUAGAGAUGUGGAGGAACACCAGUGGCGAAGGCGGCUUUCUGGUCUGUAACUGACGCUGAGGCGCGAAAGCGUGGGGAGCAAACAGG
rnacentral:rRNA from 1 species